AAAUGGAGCCCCAGAGCUAAUUCCUGAGAAGGUUAAUAUAACGGUUUUGCCACUCAUCAUAAUGAUGCUUUGCAUCACGCCUUCACAUUACUCCCCAGCAACAUUCUUCAAAUUCAAACGCAAACCGGAAAUGACAAAUGAUUCUUGUAGUACGCUCUUUGACACAAAUCAUUUCUGAUUGCUUGGGACCCCGGACAACCUUGAGCGUGCAGAAUCAAAAGGAGAGGGAGACGUCUUGGAAAAUGAACAGCUUCGACUUCUUGCAGAUGGGAACCCUCUGCUCGCAAGGCAGCAGUGGUAUGUAAUGAUUGCCAAAUGGAUCAUUUUUAAAAUGAGGCAAAUCUGUCGGGGAUGGGUCUGUGCAGUGAUAUGUGUCAUCUCACUACAUCCUAAGCAACCAUCAAAGUGCCUUCCGACAUUGGUAAGAAGACAGACAUUCACACAUAAGGGCUCGCUAUUUGUGAAGCCCUUGUGUACAUGAUGUCUUACUCAUCCUUCCAGUGAGAUUAGAUAUUUAUUGUUUUUUCCCCCCUCUAAAAAGGAGGGAAGGGACGCUUAGGGAAUUCCAACAACUUUGCCAAAGGACCCAACGUGUUACGUUAGAUCUGGAUCAUGGCUCCCCAUGCACCACGGGGCACCUCUAAGGUGCAAUGUUCUCUCACAGCACUUUUAUCAUCUGGCCUCAUUUUCUGCAGAUUGCAGAAGAAAGCUUGGGUGUUGGGGGCAUACAUUGAUGUGAUAUAAGCUUGUCUGGAAAUUGACGGUGGUGGACAGGGUGAUCAUAAAUAUUCCUCCUGGUUCAAAUGUAUUGAGUGUGGCAGAAGGCAGGUCAAGUGCUUUGUAAGCAUUAUUUGUUUCCAGCUGUAGAGGAGCUCUAGGAGAUAAACACUAGGAUUGAGGAAACAGAGACUCAGAGUAGUUAAGUAACUUGCCCAAGGCAGACCUGGAAUGGGGGACUCAGACAAGGAUGAAGGGGUGUCCACCAAGGAUAUGUGCCCCCUCCCAAAUUGUGAAGCUGGUGCUGAGAAAUGGUUGCCUGGCCAAGAAUGGCAUCUCUCUUAUGACAAAUGAGGCCACACUGAUAAGUUCUCAGCAAUGGGCAUGUGGAAAUAAAGAUGUCACUUCUUGGUAGAAGUGGUUGCAAAAUGGAUGUGCCUUCUCCUCUCUCUUGUUCUCCUCCUGCCAGUGGAAUGAAUCCCUGGACCAACUUCAGAAGCUAUGGUAUUGCCUCUACUGACAUGGAUCCCUGAAUGGCAGGUGAACAGAGCACCCCUGCCCCAUUCUGGCCUCCCACAUCUGCUGGCUGCACUUUACAUGAAAGAGGCAUGAACUUAAGUUGGAUUUAGUCAAUGAGAUCAGGAAUUAUUUGUUAUAGCAGCUAGCAUUACCUUGACUUACACCGAGACAAAAAAAAAAAGAGUCUAGUUUCAGAUGUGCUUGUUCUUCACUGCUACACCAUAGAAUGACCCCAAGAUCAUUUAGUUUGUGCAGAGUGUAGAAAAUUUUCUCCUUAUUCCCAAACCCAAGAGCAAAAGCAUGGUGAUAUUAUUUCCCCCUGUGAAGCUGGCAGAUGAAAUGGAGGGACAUUCAUGAUUCGGAGUUCCUUCCAAACUUGACAGCUUUUCUCAGUCUUUCUGUGCCGGUCAAUGGCACCACCAGCUACCUGAAAAAUUGGCAAUCAUCCUGGAUUUCUGUCUUUCCCUUACCUCCUAUACUUUAACUGCCAACAAGUCUUGUAUCUGUAUCUUAAAAAUAUAACCAGUACUGUGCUGGAGCUGGGUCGUACCAGCUUAGGCGAGCUGACUAUAAUACUGUCAUGAAUACUGCAAGCUGGUUGGCACUGUGUUUGCAGCGUGAGGCAGUUCAUGGUGGGGUUAUUUAAACCAUGGGAAUUGGUAAAUGCUACAAACCAGGUUUUCCUCCUUCCAGAGAGCUGGUUAUUAAGUGGGAGACAGGGCCUGGCAAGAGAGCCGGCUGGGCUGGCUAUGACCAAGGAGUGUGGAACAAUGGGGGGACCAAGGGAAGAAUCUGAAUAGAACAGAAAAUUCUAAAGGGCACCUGGAAGAAGAGUGAAAACUGGGUUUCAGGUCAAGAUCCAUCAAUGGAGCACCAGAACAAGUGGGUAAAGGAGGGGCAAUUGGAACAGAAUCUGGAUAGAUUUAUCUAGGGCCCCUCUGUUAGGGGAUCAGAGAGAACCAAUUGAUGUCUACGACUUUUUAGCUGUGUGACUGUGGGAAAGUUACCUAACCUCUCUGAACCUUGGUUUCUUCUAUAGAAAAGGGUCAGUGAUAUCCUUCAUGGCAGGUGCAAUCACUAAAAGAACACACAUAUGAAAGCCUCCAGCGCAAACAUGGCAUGCAGUAAAUGCUCAAUUAAAGCUCAGUAACUGCUGAUUUCCACACCUUUUCCUCACUUCUUUCCUGUGAAUGAUGCUCCUUUUAUUGUUUGUAUUUAGUUGGAAAUUAGAACCAGGGAUGGUAGGCCGUCAAAGCUCAAAGGAUGAAAAUUCUGGGUACAUGGGGCUCCUUGCCUCACCCAACAGGCAGAAUGGGGAUGGGCAAUGAGGUCAGGGGAUAUCAAAAUCUCCACCCAGAUAUGGCCAAUGGGAAGGCCUGGGGAGGUGCAUAAACCACAGCUGUGAAAUUCACAUCUUGAAACAGAAAUGCUAGUCCCUCGUACCUGCAAAGUGCUUUUCAGGUUUCAGAGCCAGCUUAGACCCAGGUUUUCAUUCAGUCCCCCAACAAACCAGCCUGUGGGGGGAGCAGGGAGGAGAGUAUUGCCCUCCCCAGUGAAGACUGGGGGGAAAUGACCACCUCUGAUGAGAUACAGGGCCUUAAGCUGGAGUCUGAGGGGACGUGACUGUUGGUUACUGUGUACACACUUCUGUCACCUAAACAUGGAGCCCACAAUUGCCCCCAAAGCAUUUCAUUUCUGACUAGCAGAUUCCUUCUCAGAUGCCCAGCAGGUGCCUUGCAUUUUAAUGGGCCCUGGAUGCUUAUUACUUGCAAAGAGGUCAGGUUUCUAAAUGGACAGCCAGAUGGAGAGGCCUUCUGGACUUUCCCUGGGGCCAGGAGAGGCUGCUCCUUCUGUUGGCUCCUGCCUUCCUUGCCCUAGAAUGGUUCCAGUGCCUUCCAUGCUAACAGCUUACUCCUCGUGAGCCCCCUUCAGGGCUCUCCGGCUGGAAUCCAAAGUGGAGGGCAGAAAGGCUGGAAACACAAGUGGUGCAGUUCCAAAUACAAACAUCUCAGGGCCCAAAUGCAAAUUCUUUUUUCUGCUUGCCAAGAAAACACACAGACAACUUUAAUAUGGGGUGCCUUACGGAAGUGCAGCGGUGGGGAUCGCUGCACACCCAAUCCAGUCUUGGUUAGGACACAAAUAAUAAAACCCAGUCUGUGUGCCCAGGGAUUUCUGGCUUGCAAAGCACAUUCACAAUCAGCCUCCUCCUUGAUUCCUGUAGGAGGCCCAACUCAACACACUGCAUUGGAGCAGGUGUUUGCUGACUGCUGAGUCCUGAAAGACCUCACUGUCCAGAUGGGGAGAUAGGAUGUCCCGAGAAUUACAUGAGCACGUGUAUGGCAUAACAUGAGACCCAUGUGGUGUCAUGGCGAUGUGUGACAAGGGACUUCACUUGAGGAGGUGACAUCCAGGCUAGGGAGGAGGUAGCCAGGUGAAGGGGUGGGUAAAGAAGGUGGGAAUAGCCAUGUGAGGGCCUUGCCUUGUAUUAGCUUUCUGGGGGCUGCCCUAGCAAAGAACCGCCAUCUGGGUGCCCUCAACAACUGAAACGUGCCAUCUCAUACUUCUGGAACCUGGAAGCCCCAAAUCAAUGUGUCAUCAGGGAUGAUUCCUUCUGAGGAUCCGUGGGAGCAUCUGUUUCAGGCCUCCUUCCUAGUCUCUGGUCCCCUCAAGCAUGCCUUGACUUGUAGAUAGCACUCUCCCUGUGUCUUCACAUCAUCUUCCCUCUGUGUAUACAUGUCUCCCUUUUAAUAAGGACACAGUGGUGUGGGAUUAGGACCCUGCCUUACUGAAUUUAUCUUAAUCUGACCCUCUGCAAAGGCCCUAUUUCCAUUUAAGAUCAUAGUCCCAAGUUCUAGGGGGUUAGAACCUCAACGUCUUUUGGGGAACAAAGACGAACCCAUAACAGCACUGCUCAAAGGACAGAAAGGGAUGGAGAGAUUGAAGAGGGGACAGUAAGGGAGGAUGAGGCUAACUGUGUCUGCCGGGGCCUCUUGGGGAGGGUCCAUAAUGCGUGGUGGAGACCUUGUCAUUUAACAUGAGGGCGAGGGGGAAUCCAUCUUUGUUGCCCUCACAACAACAUCUUUGUUGACUUUUUGGGUUGUUGGGGCCUGAUACAGCUCCCCAAGAGCACUUUCCUUGUGGGUGCGUGGGUAGAGUUUCUCCAUUCAGUGGUGAAUUCUUUGAGGGCAGGACCCAAGCCUUAUUAUUCACUGGGACCCCCAGCACAGUGAUCAGCACAGGGGAAUGUUUAAUAAAUGCUUGUCAACUGAGCGAAUUUAGUUUGGUUCUUAUAACAGCUGAGUGCAGAGAUGCCUCUUAAUUUAUAUGUGCUCUUCAUACAUUUUACAUCAUUGUUGCUAUAAUACACAAUCCCUUUUGUACAUCUUUAUGCAUGUUCUUGAUUUCUCAGAUUGAAAUGUUUAUUUCAUUCUCUCAGAACUAAACUCCUUUUGUUAUGUUCUCCUGGAAUGCUGGAUCUUACCAUGUGUGGUUUGCAAAACAGAUCUGACGGGGUGUUUUGUUAUUUGUCUUAGGAAAGAAAUCAAUAAAUUAUUUGUGUGUCUUUAACAUAGAAGGAAGUAACAAAAUCAGUUUGCCAUCAUUAAGGUUGACAAGUUAACACUUAAAAUGCAGUCUACCCAACCCCAGCAUUGUUAGAGGUUGUGAGUUUAAUGAUCUACUUCUAGGAUUUAAGAUUUGAGAUUUGCCUGUCCUUUUUUUCUCCCUCCCGCCCUCCUCCCUCCACCCCUCUCAAUUGGACUCCUACAGGUUUGCUCAGAGAGAAGCAAGAUUUUGUAGCCCUGGCCAUGGUCUUUGGACCUCU
rnacentral:lncRNA from 1 species